CCUACGGGUGGCAGCAGUGAGGAAUAUUGGUCAAUGGUCGGGAGACUGAACCAGCCAAGCCGCGUGAGGGAGGACGGUACAGAGUAUCGUAAACCUCUUUUGUCAGGGAAUAAAAACUUGGACGCGUCCCAGGAUGUGUGUACCUGAAGAAUAAGGAUCGGCUAACUCCGUGCCAGCAGCCGCGGUAAUACGGAGGAUCCGAGCGUUAUCCGGAUUUAUUGGGUUUAAAGGGUGCGUAGGUGGGUUGUUAAGUCAGUGGUGAAAGUUUGGGGCUCAACCGUAAAAUUGCAGUUGAAACUGGCAGUCUUGAGUAGAGUAGAGGUGGGCGGAAUGCGUGGUGUAGCGGUGAAAUGCAUAGAUAUCACGAAGAACUCCGAUUGCGAAGGCAGCUCACUGG
rnacentral:rRNA from 1 species